UACGAAGGGGGCUAGCGUUGUUCGGAAUCACUGGGCGUAAAGCGCACGUAGGCGGACUUUCAAGUCAGGGGUGAAAUCCCGGGGCUCAACCUCGGAAUUGCCUUUGAUACUGUAGGUCUCGAGUCCGGAAGAGGUGGGUGGAAUUCCUAGUGUAGAGAUGAAAUUCGUAGAUAUUAGGAAGAACACCGGUGGCGAAGGCGGCCACUGUCCGGUACUGACGCUGAGGUGCGAAAGCGUGGGGAGCAAACAGG
rnacentral:rRNA from 1 species